rnacentral:tRNA from 1 species
GCGGGUGUAGUUCAAUGGUAGAACUCCAGCCUUCCAAGCUGGCAGCGUGGGUUCGAUUCCCAUCACCCGCU